AGAGUUUGAUCAUGGCUCAGAGCGAACGCUGGCGGCAGGCCUAACACAUGCAAGUCGAGCGGUCGUAGCAAUACGGCAGCGGCAGACGGGAGAGUAACACGUGGGAACGCGCCCUUCGGUUCGGGAUAACCCAGGGAAACUUGGGCUAAUACCGGAUACGCCCUUACGGGGAAAGAUUUAUUGCCGAAGGAACGGCCCGCGUCCGAUUAGCUAGUUGGUGAGGUAACGGCUCACCAAGGCGACGAUCGGUAGCUGGUCUGAGAGGAUGACCAGCCUCACUGGGACUGAGACACGGCCCAGACUCCUACGGGAGGCAGCAGUGGGGAAUAUUGGACAAUGGGCGCAAGCCUGAUCCAGCCAUGCCGCGUGGGUGAUGAAGGCCCUAGGGUUGUAAAGCCCUUUCAGCGGGGAAGAUAAUGACGGUACCCGCAGAAGAAGCCCCGGCUAACUUCGUGCCAGCAGCCGCGGUAAUACGAAGGGGGCUAGCGUUGCUCGGAAUUACUGGGCGUAAAGCGCACGUAGGCGGCUUUCUAAGUCGGGGGUGAAAUCCUGGAGCUCAACUCCAGAACUGCCUUCGAUACUGGAAAGCUCGAGUCCGGGAGAGGUGAGUGGAACUGCGAGUGUAGAGGUGAAAUUCGUAGAUAUUCGCAAGAACACCAGUGGCGAAGGCGGCUCACUGGCCCGGUACUGACGCUGAGGUGCG
rnacentral:rRNA from 1 species